GAUGAACGCUGGCGGCGUGCCUAAUACAUGCAAGUCGAGCGAACGGACGAGAAGCUUGCUUCUCUGAUGUUAGCGGCGGACGGGUGAGUAACACGUGGAUAACCUACCUAUAAGACUGGGAUAACUUCGGGAAACCGGAGCUAAUACCGGAUAAUACUUUGAACCGCAUGGUUCAAAAGUGAAAGACGGUCUUGCUGUCACUUAUAGAUGGAUCCGCGCUGCAUUAGCUAGUUGGUAAGGUAACGGCUUACCAAGGCAACGAUGCAUAGCCGACCUGAGAGGGUGAUCGGCCACACUGGAACUGAGACACGGUCCAGACUCCUACGGGAGGCAGCAGUAGGGAAUCUUGCGCAAAGGGCGAAAGCCUGACGGAGCAACGCCGCGUGAGUGAUGAAGGUCUUCGGAUCGUAAAACUCUGUUAUUAGGGAAGAACAGAUGUGUAAGUAACUGUGCACAUCUUGACGGUACCUAAUCAGAAAGCCACGGCUAACUACGUG
rnacentral:rRNA from 1 species